UGCAAGUCGAACGGACAUGUCUUUCGGGAUAUGUUAGUGGCAGACGGGUGCGUAACACGUAGGUGACCUGCCCUAGAGUGGGGAAUAACUAUCCUAACGGAUAGCUAAUACCGCAUAUGCUCGGUGAUUCAUUUUGCCGAGUAAAGUCGUAAGGCGCUUUAGGAUGGGCCUGCGGCGGAUUAGGUAGUUGGUGGGGUAAUGGCCUACCAAGCCGAUGAUCCGUAGGGGGCGUGAGAGCGUGGCCCCCCACACUGGCACUGAGAUACGGGCCAGACUCCUACGGGAGGCAGCAGUGAGGAAUAUUGCGCAAUGGGCGAAAGCCUGACGCAGCAACGCCGCGUGAGGGACGAAGGCCUUCGGGUCGUAAACCUCUUUUCUGGGGAAAGAGCAAGGACGGUACCUCAGGAAUAAGUCUCGGCUAACUACGUGCCAGCAGCCGCGGUAAAACGUAGGAGGCGAGCGUUAUCCGGAUUUACUGGGCGUAAAGCGCACGCAGGCGGCUUCGUUAGUCGGAUGUGAAAGCUCCUGGCUUAACUGGGAGAGGCCAUUCGAUACUGCGAGGCUUGAGGUUGGGAGAGGGGUGUGGAAUUCCCGGUGUAGUGGUGGAAUGCGUAGAUAUCGGGAGGAACACCUGUGGCGAAAGCGGCACCCUGGCCCACACCUGACGCUGAGGUGCGAAAGCGUGGGGAGUAAACAGGAU
rnacentral:rRNA from 1 species